rnacentral:tRNA from 6 species
CGCGGGGUGGAGCAGCUCGGUAGCUCGCUGGGCUCAUAACCCAGAGGUCGCAGGUUCAAAUCCUGCCCCCGCUACUA